rnacentral:siRNA from 1 species
GUAGGUUUGAUACGCUUG